GACGAACGCUGGCGGCGUGCUUAACACAUGCAAGUCGAACGGAAAGGCCCUGCUUUGGUGCGGUGCUCGAGUGGCGAACGGGUGAGUAACACGUGAGUAACCUGCCCUUUACUUCGGGAUAACUUCAGGAAACUGGGGCUAAUACCGGAUAGGAGCUCCUGCUGCAUGGUGGGGGUUGGAAAGUUUCGGGGGUUGGGGAUGGACGCGCGGCUUAUCAGCUUGUUGGUGGGGUAGUGGCAUACCAAGGCUUUGACGGGUCGCCGGCCUGAGAGGGUGACCGGACACUUUGAGUGUGAGACGGGGCAGAGACUCCUGGGGGGGAGAGAAGGGGGGUAUAUUGCACAGGGGGCGGGAGCCAGGUAGAGCAGCGCCGUGGGCGAGGUGGGGGCUCUCGGUGUGUAAUCCGCUUGCGCUUGACACGGAGCGUUGGUGACGGUAGUUGGUGAAGAAGCACCGGCUAACUACGUG
rnacentral:rRNA from 1 species